rnacentral:tRNA from 1 species
UUCCAACCAGCUCAGUUGGCAGAGCAUGAAACUCUUAAAUCUCAGGGUUGUGGGUUCGAGUCAUACGUUGGGGU